rnacentral:lncRNA from 1 species
UGGACUGUCAUGUAAGAAAUAAUUUUUUAUUGUAUUAGGACACUGGGAUUUGCGGGUCAUUUGUUACAGCAGCCAGUGUUAUUUACCUUAAGCAACACCUCGGUCUCAUCCCAGCUCCUAUCUUCUCACUUAGCCAUUCAGUGAAUACAGCCAAACUCACAGGCAGCAAGUCCAAAUCUGCCUGAUGGAGAAGGAGAAAAUCCAAGCCAAGUUCACGGAUGGGUUGGCUCAAUCCACUCGUGUGAGCUGAAAGUGUAUGGCUCCUGCACUACGUCCCCCCUUGCGGCAGCUUUUGAAGACUAGACAGAGCUUUGGGCAGUAUACUUGGUCGUCAACUUUGUGAGAAAAGAUAAGUGGCCUGAGUUAAGGAUGUAUGCUGACUUCUUGGUGGCGCUAAAAUGGCUUAAAUGAUUGGUCAGGAGCCUUGAAGGAGCAGUAUUAGAAGAUCAGAGAUCUUGAGGCAGAAGUAUGUGGAUGGAUCUGCGGGAGAACAAAGUGUGUGGAUGCUUGUGCCUCAUGUCGGUGCCCAUCAGUGAGCAUCCAGCACAAGAAGGCAAGUGAACAACCGGAUGGACAGGGUGGUGACUGGGCAGUGGAAGUCAGCCAGCUUCUGUAUUUAGCUAUAACUGUGAGCUCCUGAACAGAAUAACCAGGUAGCAGAGAUGGAGACUUGGCAAGGGCCCGACAGCAUGGGCUCCCUCCCACCAAGGCUCAUCUAGCCACUGCUGCUGCUGGACAUUUGGCCUGUUGGCAUCCUCUGUUGACACUGAACCCUCAGUAUGAUGCCGUCCCUGGAAAAACCCAAACAGCCCACGGGUGGCAAGUUGAUUGCAUUAGAUCAUUUGUACCCUGGAGGGGGAAGUGAUUUGUCUCUACUGGGAUUCGUGUGGAUUCCAAGAAUGGAUUUCUUUGCUCAACUAGCACCGCUAUCUGAAGACUCACAAAGUGUCUGAUUUCUCAUCAUGGGAUCCUGGGUAACGAAGUCAUAGGCCAUGGGACUCAUUUUAUGAUGAAGGAAAGAUGACCAUGGCCAUGAUAUUCCACAUCAUUCAGAAGCUGCCUGUCUGAUGGAACACUGAAAUGGCCUCUUUUUUGCACAGGUAAGAUACCAGCUUGGAGAUGACACCUUGGAGGUUAGGAUGCUGUCCCUCAAGAUGCAAUAUAUGCUUUGAACCAACAGCAUUAUAUGGCGUGUGUCCCUAAAAGUUACAAUGCGUGGAUCUGAGAGCCAAGGGGCAGCGUCACUGCCCCUCCACCAUCACUUCCAGUGACCCUCUUAGGGAGUCUGUGUUUCCUUUCCCUGCAAGGUUAAGUCUUGCUGAACUAAAGGCCCUGGUUCCCAGGGGAAGGAUGCUCCUACCAGGUGAAACAGUAACCGUUCCACUAACCUAAAGCUAAGCUGCUACGUGGUCAUUUGGGGCUCCUAUGCCGGUAGCCCAGCAGGCCAAAAAAAAAACAGCUAAAAUAUUAGCAGAGCCAGUUGACUCUCAUUAUCACAAAGACAUAGGAUUGCUGCCACGUAAUGAGGACAGAGAAGAGGAUUCUGAAACUCAGAGGAUUUACUGGGGUGCCCCUUGGUGCUGUAAUGCCCAAUUUUAACAGUAAAGAGGCAAUUACAGCAACCCCAGCCUCCUUCAGCAUGCAAACCAGGGGCUCAGAGCCCUCAGGAAUGAAGAUCUAGGCUAACCCACCAGACAAGCAGAAUUCCUGGCCAAAAUAAGCACAGGAAAAGAUGCUCAGCAUCAUCAGUCAUUAGGGAAAUGCAAAUCAAAACCACGAGAUAUCACUUCACGCCCACCAGGAUGGCCAGAAUCAAAAAGAAGAAGUGUUGGUGAGGAUGGGAAAAAAUCGGAACCUUCCUACACUGCUGGUGGGAAUGCAAAAUAGUGCAGCUGCUUUGGAAAACAGUUUGGCAGUUCCUCAAAAAGUUAAACUAUGAGUUAUCAUAUGACCAAGCAAUUUCACUCCUAGAUACAUACUCAAGAGAAGUGAGGGGCCGGCCCAGUGGCGCAGCGGUUGCAUUCUCACGUUCCGCUUCUCGGCGGCCUGGGGUUCACCAGUUUGGAUCCCGGGUGCAGACAUGGCACCGCUUGGUGUCAUGCUGUGGUGGGCAUCCCAUGUAUGGAGUGGAGGAAGAUGGGCACGGAGGAUGUUGGCUUGGGGCCGGUCUUCCUCAGCAGGGAGAGGAGGAUUGGCAGUAGUUAGCUCAGGGCUAAUCUUCCUCAAAAAAAAAAAAAAAAAAGAGAGAGAAAUGAAAACACAUGUCCACAUGCAAACUUGUACACAAAUGUUC